rnacentral:rRNA from 1 species
UUCCGGGUGAUCCUGCCGGAGGUUACUGCUAUCGAGGUUCGACUAAGCCAUGCGAGUCGAAUGCCGCAAGGCAUGGCGUACUGCUCAGUAACACGUGGACAACCUACCCUUAGGACUGGGAUAACCCCGGGAAACUGGGAAUAAUCCCCGAUAGUCCUCGAAGGCUGGAAUGCAUCGAGGGCGAAAGCUCCGGCGCCUAAGGAUGGGUCUGCGGCCUAUCAGGUAGUAGUGGGUGUAGCGUACCUACUAGCCUACGACGGGUACGGGUUGUGAGAGCAAGAGCCCGGAGAUGGAUUCUGAGACACGAAUCCAGGCCCUACGGGGUGCAGCAGGCGCGAAAACUUUACAAUGCUGGCAACAGCGAUAAGGGAACCUCGAGUGCCAGGUUACAAAUCUGGCUGUCGAGAUGCCUAAAAAGCAUUUCAUAGCAAGGGCCGGGCAAGACCGGUGCCAGCCGCCGCGGUAACACCGGCGGCUCGAGUGGUAACCGUUAUUAUUGGGUCUAAAGGGUCUGUAGCCGGCCGGAUAAGUCUCUUGGGAAAUCUGGCAGCUCAACUGUC